rnacentral:rRNA from 1 species
UACGUAGGUGGCAAGCGUUGUCCGGAUUUACUGGGCGUAAAGAGCGCGCAGGCGGUCGUACAAGUCGCGUGUGAAAGCCCCCGGCUCAACUGGGGAGGGUCACGCGAUACUGUUCGACUCGAAGGCAGGAGAGGGAAGUGGAAUUCCCGGUGUAGUGGUGAAAUGCGUAGAUAUCGGGAGGAACACCAGUGGCGAAGGCGGCUUCCUGGCCUGUUCUUGACGCUGAGGCGCGAAAGCUAGGGGAGCAAACGGG